CAUUCAUUCAUUCAUUCAUUCAUUCAUUCAUUCAUUCAUUCAUUCAUUUGUUCAUUCUAUGCUGUCCGCAGUUCUUGCUGCUUCUUGCGCGUUCCAUAGUUCUCUUGGAAUUUCUGUUUUCGUUGUAGUUUACGCGCUCCUCUGGCACUGCGCAGAGAGACGCAUACUAUUCUUGGCAAGUUCGGUUCAUGUUGUUUUAUGCUGAAGAUAAUGCUGAAUUCACUACACUAUAGUACAGUAGUUAUCGAGGCUCACAGCUUUGUAAGUCUUAUCAUAUCUCACAAGUUCAAUCGUUAAUGUUAUAGUACAAUUAUAAUAAUCCAGCACUAUAUGAUGUUUUCAUGUUGUAUGGUAAUUCACAUACGAAUGUAAUUAUGCUCUAUUAUGAUAGUUAUGCAAAUGAUUAAUGACAUGAUGAUACAGUAUGUAAUUUUAUUGUUAUUUACAGUUACCACACAAACAAAUGCGAGUGAUCAAACAGGGUUUGUGAACAAGCAAUAAAAGGGUUAUACUAGAGGAGCAAUUUUGAACAAUUUUAACUUCAAUCUGUGUAUGGUUAAACUAACAAAUAAACAAGUACAUUGGACAUCAAAUGACGUUAUUCAUUCACGCUGAAUUUAGUAAACAAAAGGAUUGAAGCCUAUAUGAACAUUUUGUGACGAUUCAUCAACCUUUGCUGCAGCA